ACAGGUGCGCAGCCGCGGGGCGCAGUGGGGCUGCGCGCGGGCGCUCGCGGCCGGCUGGAGGUGCCUGGCGAUCGGCCCCGCUCGAGCGGGGGACACUCACCGAGCGGCUGGAGAGUCUUUUCCGGGAGCUCCGGCUGAACAUGGCCGGACGCCUCCUGCUCGCAGCGCCGUCCGUCGGCAAUACAGUUACUAAAGGAACUUGAAGAGAUCCUCAUACACAAUUGUCAACAUGGGAAGACGCCUUUGCUAUAAUGUAAGGUGGAAAAACAAAACCCGAAUAGACUGCCUGUAAUUGCUCCUAAAAUAUGCAUCAAGAAACUGGAAAGAAAUACACAACACGAUAAAAUUCUACUGUUUGCAGAAUACAUUCAAAAGUAUUAUAUUGGGACUCCAAGACUCACAGUGAGGUCAGAAAAGGAAACAAACACUCGCUGAAGCUGUGUGACUUCCCCGACAGGUAUGCUGAGUGCUCCACUGGAUUGUCUGAAUCUGACCUGCAGACAAGAAAAGAGAAGGUGAAGAGUCAGUGAGAGUGAUGGACAUAUUUUCCCCAAAUUUCA
rnacentral:lncRNA from 1 species